rnacentral:rRNA from 1 species
GAUGAACGCUGGCGGCGUGCUUAACACAUGCAAGUCGAACGGGAAACAUUUUAUUGAAGCUUCGGCAGAUUUAGAUUGUUUCUAGUGGCGGACGGGUGAGUAACGCGUGGGUAACCUGCCUUAUACCGGGGGAUAACAGCCAGAAAUGACUGCUAAUACCGCAUAAGCGCACAGAACCGCAUGGUUCGGUGUGAAAAACUCCGGUGGUAUAAGAUGGACCCGCGUUGGAUUAGCUGGUUGGCAGGGCAGCGGCCUACCAAGGCGACGAUCCAUAGCCGGCCUGAGAGGGUGAACGGCCACAUUGGGACUGAGACACGGCCCACACUCCUACGGGAGGCAGCAGUGGGGAAUAUUGCACAAUGAGGGGAAAACCUAUGAUGCAGCGACGCCGCGUAAAGGAAGAAGUAUCUCGGUAUGUAAACUUCUAUCAGCAGGGAAGAUAAUGACGGUACCUGACUAAGAAGCCCCGGCUAAAUACGUGCCAGCAGCCGCGGUAAUACGUAGGGGGCAAGCGUUAUCCGGAUUUACUGGGUGUAAAGGGAGCGUAGACGGCGCAGCAAGUCUGAUGUGAAAGGCAGGGGCUUAACCCCUGGACUGCAUUGGAAACUGCUGUGCUUGAGUGCCGGAGGGGUAAGCGGAAUUCCUAGUGUAGCGGUGAAAUGCGUAGAUAUUAGGAGGAACACCAGUGGCGAAGGCGGCUUUCUGGACGGUAACUGACGUUGAGGCUCGAAAGCGUG